GAUGAACGCUGGCGGCGUGCUUAACACAUGCAAGUCGAACGGAAAGGCCCAAGCUUGCUUGGGUACUCGAGUGGCGAACGGGUGAGUAACACGUGGGUGAUCUGCCCUGCACUUCGGGAUAAGCCUGGGAAACUGGGUCUAAUACCGGAUAGGACGAUGGUUUGGAUGCCAUUGUGGAAAGUUUUUUCGGUGUGGGAUGAGCUCGCGGCCUAUCAGCUUUUUGGUGGGGUAAUGGCCUACCAAGGCGUCGACGGGUAGCCGGCCUGAGAGGGUGUACGGCCACAUUGGGACUGAGAUACGGCCCAGACUCCUACGGGAGGCAGCAGUGGGGAAUAUUGCACAAUGGGCGCAAGCCUGAUGCAGCGACGCCGCGUGGGGGAUGACGGCCUUCGGGUUGUAAACUCCUUUCGCUAGGGACGAAGCGUUUUGUGACGGUACCUGGAGAAGAAGCACCGGCUAACUACGUG
rnacentral:rRNA from 1 species